rnacentral:misc_RNA from 1 species
GAUGAAGAACGUAGCGAAAUGCGAUAAGUAGUGUGAAUUGCAGAAUUCAGUGAAUCAUCGAAUCUUUGAACGCACAUUGCGCCCCCUGGUAUUCCGGGGGGCAUGCCUGUCCGAGCGUCAUUACAACCCUCAAGCUCAGCUUGGUGUUGGGCCCCGCCGCCCCGGCGGGCCCUAAAGUCAGUGGCGGUGCCGUCCGGCUCCGAGCGUAGUAAUUCUUCUCGCUCUGGAGGUCCGGUCGUGUGCUUGCCAGCAACCCCCAAUUUUUUUCAGGUUGACCUCGGAUCAGGUAGGGAUACCCGCUGAACUUAAGCAUAUCAAUAAGCGGAGGA